rnacentral:rRNA from 1 species
CUGGAGGUAUCAGAAGUGCGAAUGCUGACAUAAGUAACGAUAAAGCGGGUGAAAAGCCCGCUCGCCGGAAGACCAAGGGUUCCUGUCCAACGUUAAUCGGGGCAGGGUGAGUCGACCCCUAAGGCGAGGCCGAAAGGCGUAGUCGAUGGGAAACGGGUUAAUAUUCCCGUACUUGGUGUUACUGCGAAGGGGGGACGGAGAAGGCUAUGUUGGCCGGGCGACGGUUGUCCCGGUUUAAGCGUGUAGGUGUGUGUUCCAGGUAAAUCCGGUUCACUUUAACACUGAGGCGUGACGACGAGGCACUACGGUGCUGAAGCAACAAAUGCCCUGCUUCCAGGAAAAGCCUCUAAGCAUCAGGUAACAUCAAAUCGUACCCCAAACCGACACAGGUGGUCAGGUAGAGAAUACCAAGGCGCUUGAGAGAACUCGGGUGAAGGAACUAGGCAAAAUGGUGCCGUAACUUCGGGAGAAGGCACGCUGACACGUAGGUGAAGUGAUUUACUCAUGGAGCUGAAGUCAGUCGAAGAUACCAGCUGGCUGCAACUGUUUAUUAAAAACACAGCACUGUGCAAACACGAAAGUGGACGUAUACGGUGUGACGCCUGCCCGGUGCCGGAAGGUUAAUUGAUGGGGUCAGCGCAAGCGAAGCUCCUGAUCGAAGCCCCGGUAAACGGCGGCCGUAACUAUAACGGUCCUAAGGUAGCGAAAUUCCUUGUCGGGUAAGUUCCGACCUGCACGAAUGGCGUAAUGAUGGCCAGGCUGUCUCCACCCGAGACUCAGUGAAAUUGAACUCGCUGUGAAGAUGCAGUGUACCCGCGGCAAGACGGAAAGACCCCGUGAACCUUUACUAUAGCUUGACACUGAACAUUGAGCCUUGAUGUGUAGGAUAGGUGGGAGGCUUUGAAGCGUGGACGCCAGUCUGCGUGGAGCCGACCUUGAAAUACCACCCUUUAAUGUUUGAUGUUCUAACGUGG